GGCUCAGAACGAACGCGGGCGGCGUGCCUAACACAUGCAAGUCGAACGGAAUUAAGGGGCUUGCUCCUUAAUUUAGUGGCGCACGGGUGAGUAAUGCGUAGAUAAUCUACCCAAGGAUCCGGGAUAACAUUUCGAAAGGGGUGCUAAUACCGGAUAAGCCCACGGAGUCUUCGGACUCUGCGGGAAAAGGGGGGGACCUUCGGGCCUUCUGUCCUCGGAUGAGUCUACGUACCAUUAGCUAGUUGGUGGGGUAAAGGCCUACCAAGGCGACGAUGGUUAGCUGGUCUGAGAGGAUGAUCAGCCACAUUGGAACUGAGACACGGUCCAGACUCCUACGGGAGGCAGCAGUGGGGAAUUUUGCGCAAUGGGGGAAACCCUGACGCAGCAACGCCGCGUGAGUGAUGAAGGCCUUCGGGUCGUAAAGCUCUGUCAGUGGGAAAGAAAUGUACGAGGGUCAAUACCCCUUGUACUUGACGGUACCCACAAAGGAAGCACCGGCUAACUCCGUGCCAGCAGCCGCGGUAAUACGGAGGGUGCGAGCGUUGUUCGGAAUUAUUGGGCGUAAAGCGCGUGUAGGCGGCUUCUUAAGUCUGAUGUGAAAGCCCCGGGCUCAACCUGGGAAGUGCAUUGGAAACUGGGGAACUUGAAUACGGGAGAGGGUAGUGGAAUUCCUGGUGUAGGAGUGAAAUCCGUAGAUAUCAGGAGGAACACCGGUGGCGAAGGCGGCUACCUGGACCGAUAUUGACGCUGAGACGCGAAAGCGUGGGGAGCAAACAGGAUUAGAUACCCUGGUAGUCCACGCCGUAAACGAUGAGAACUAGGUGUUGCGGGUAUUGACCCCUGCAGUGCCGCAGCUAACGCAUUAAGUUCUCCGCCUGGGAAGUACGGUCGCAAGAC
rnacentral:rRNA from 1 species